rnacentral:rRNA from 1 species
GACGAACGCUGGCGGCGUGCUUAACACAUGCAAGUCGAACGGAAAGGCCCUGCUUUUGUGGGGUGCUCGAGUGGCGAACGGGUGAGUAACACAUGAGUAAACUGCCCUUGACUUUGGGAUAACUUCAGGAAACUGGGGCUAUUACCCGAUAGGAGCUCCUGCUGCAUGGGGGGGGUUGGGAAGUUUCGGCGGUUGGGGCUGUACUCGCGGCUUAUGAGCUUGUUUGUGGGGUAGUUGCUUACCAAGGCUUUGAAGGGUAGCCGGCCUGAGAGGGUGAACGGCGACAAGAGGACUGAGGUACGGCCCAGACUCCAACGGGAGGCAGCAGGCGGGAGUAUUGCACAGUGGGGCGAAGCCUGAGGAGACAACGCCGCGUUCGGGAUGACGGCCUUCGGGUUGUAAACCGCUUUCGCCUGUGACGAAGCGGGAGUGACGGUAAUGGGUAAAGAAGCACCGGCUAACUACGUG